rnacentral:rRNA from 1 species
UGGGGAAUCUUGCGCAAUGGGCGAAAGCCUGACGCAGCAACGCCGCGUGCGGGACGACGGCCCUCGGGUUGUAAACCGCUUUCAGCAGGAACGAUGAUGACGGUACCUGCAGAAGAAGCUCCGGCCAACUACGUGCCAGCAGCCGCGGUAAUACGUAGGGAGCAAGCGUUGUCCGGAUUUAUUGGGCGUAAAGAGCUCGUAGGCGGUUCGGUAAGUCGGGUGUGAAAACUCUGGGCUCAACCCGGAGAGGCCACUCGAUACUGCUGUGACUUGAGUCUGGUAGGGGAGCACGGAAUUCCUGGUGUAGCGGUGAAAUGCACAGAUAUCAGGAGGAACACCGGUGGCGAAGGCGGCUCACUUGGACCGGAACUGACGCUGAGGCGCGAAAGCGUGGGAGCAAACA